rnacentral:lncRNA from 1 species
UAGUCAAUAUACCAAAGUGGCGUUUUUUAGAGUGACAUGCUCUGAACUCCUUCACUGUACAGUUUAUGUGCAUAUUUGAUCAUUACGUUUUAAAGAAAUACUGAGAAACUGAACAGAAUUCAGAGAAAAGUAACAGUGCCGUAAUGACUAAAGGGCUGAAAAAUAAGUCAUACCAGGAAAGUUUAAAAGAAUUGGCAUUUAGCCUGGAGAGGAGUAACAUGAUUAUUAUCUUCAAAGAUAUGAAGUUUUUUUGGUGUAACACUGUGGUAGACUGAAAAAAGAAUUGGUAACUCUUUAGAGAGAAUUCUUGAUUGUCUAUUCAAUACAUAUUUUUUAAUGCUACUGUGAGCCAGCCCUGGACUAGGUAAAUAAGUCAUUGUUCUUUCCUUUAAGAAUUUCUCAGUAUAGGACGCUACAUUGAUAUGGGAUGAGGAUAGUUGUAUUCUUUAAGGUAAAGACUAAGUUGCUUUAUCAAUGAGAUUCUCAAAUAUAGUUAUUCCAAUAAAAUACAAUUCAAAUUUUUUUCACUUAAUACUCUGGUCAGUCACAGCUAGUGAGGCAGCCUUGCUCCAGGAGGUGUUAGGGAACUGUUGUUUCCACCCUGUCCCUCCACCUGGAAUGCAAUUUUCCAAUGGCUAUCAUGUAGAGAUAAACAGAACUACUAUAAUGGCCAAUGCAAAGAGACAGAAGAGAACAACGAAAAAGGAAAAAUGGGAGAUCUCUUUCAGAAGAUUCAGGAAAUCAAAGGGACAUGUAAACCUAGAUUAGGGAUGCUAAAUGACCAACUUGGAAGCACAUGAUCUGAUCAGGAGAAGAUAAAGGCAAGAUGGAAACAGUAUACUGAAAAUCUACACAGAAGAGACAAAGAAUGACAGAUGCCUUUAAAGAAGAUUCCUAUGAGGAAGAACCUAUAAUUUUAGGAAGUAAGGUAAAAGCUGCCUUGAAGGAGCUGGGAAGAAAUAAGUCACCAGGGGUAGAUGGGAUAUUAAUAGAAUUAUUUCGAGCCACAGAGACUGAAUCUGUCAAAAUCAUAACAAGAAUAUGCCAACAAAUACGGAAAACAAAACAAUGACCUAUAGACUAGAAAUGUUCGAUAUGUAAUCCCAGUCUCCAAAACAAGAGAUGCAGGGUGUGUAGUGACUACAGGACCACUGCUCUAAUUUCCUGUGCAAGUACAAUGAUGCUCAAGGUGCUGCAACAAAGGCUUUUACCUCAUGUGGAGCAAGAAAUACGGAUGCCUGAACUAGAUUUCGACAAGGGAGAGGCAUAUGAGAUCUAAUUGAGGUUAUUCUUUGGCUACUGGAGUGAUCCAAAGAAUUUCAGAAGAAGGUUAGUCUAUGUUUUAGAGAUGACAGUAAAGCCUUUGAGUGUGUGGAUCAUGAAAAGCUAUGGGCUGCUCUGAAAGGAAUGACGUGCCUCAGCACUUGGUUACCCUGAUGUGUAUCCUGUAUUAGGGACAAUAACCCAAUGUCAGGACAGAACAUGGAGGGACAGAAUAUGGACAGACAGAAUAAUUUUCUAUAGGCAAAGGUGUCAGACAAGGGUGCAUUUUGUCUCCUUAUCUGUUUAAUCUGUAUGCAGACAAUAUCGUAUGAAAAACUGGGCUAGACUUAGAUGAAGGAGAAGUGAAAAUUGGUGGAAGAAAUAUCAACAAUCUAUGAUAUGCAGAUGACACCAUCUUACUAGCAGAAAGCAGUAAUGACUUGAAACAACUUCUGACAAACCUGAAAGAAGAAAGCAGCAAAGCAGGACUGCAUUUGAACAUCAAGAAGCAGAACUCAUGACUACAGAAGAACUACAUAACUUUAAUGUAAACAAUGAAGACACUGAGAUUGUUAAAGAUUUUGUUUACCUUGGUUUCAAUCAUCAAUUUAAAAGGAGACUGCAAACAAGAAACCAAGAGAAGACUAAGACUCAGAAGGGCAGCAAUGAAAAAAUUAGGAAAGAUAAUCAAGUGUAAAGAAGUGUCAUUAGAGACUAAGGCCAAGGUUAUCCACACCCUCAUAUUCCUAAUUGCUGUGUGCAUACAAAAGCUGGACAGUGAAGAAGGCCAACAGGAAAAAAAGAUGAUUCAUUUGGAAUAUGGUGUUGGACCAGAGCUCUACUGAUACCCUGGACUGCCAGAAACAUGAACAAGCAGGUUCUAGAGCAAAUUAGAUCUGAACUAUCACUGGAGGCAAAAAUGAUAAAACUGAGGCUGAUCUACUAUGGGCAUGUCGUGAGAAGGCAUGAUUCUUUGGAAACGAUAAUAAUGCUGGGGAAAGUAGCAGGCAACAGGAAAAGAGGAAGACAAAAUAUCAAAUGGAUUGACUCCAUAAAGGAACCCAGAGACAUGAGUCUACAGACGCUGAGUAGGGCUGUUGAAGACAGGACAUUGUGGACGUCAUUCAUUCAUAGGGUUCCAGGAGUCGGAGCACAUUAACAGAAACUCCACUCUCAAAGAAAACUGAGAGCUGGAUAAAAAGAACCCCCACAACAAGAGAAAGUCCUGACUAAGGCGGAAGAGGCAGAAGUUCCUGCUGGAGAGAAAAAAGUCACCUUCGGGAGCAGCAGAGUUUCUCAGCCAGCCAGGCAGGAACCACCCUAAGCAGAUGAUUGGAUAUUUAUCUGAAAGGAAAAAAACACUAAGUUGAAAAGAUAUCUGCACUCCGAUGUCCACUGCAGCAUUAUUCACAAUAGCCAAGAUGUGGAAACAACGUUAAGGGUCCACUGACAGAUGAAUGGAUAAAGAAGAUGUGGUAUAUAUACAUACACCGUGGAAUACUAUUCAGCCAUAAAAAGAAGGAAAUCUUGCCAACAUGGAUGGACCUUGAGGGCAGUAUGCUAAGUGAAAUAAGUCAAACAGAGAAAGAUAAGUACCAUAUGAUCUCACUUAUAUGUUGAAUCUAAAAAAGUGAACUUGUUGUUAUAGAGAAUGGAUUGGUAGUUGCCAGAGGUAGUAGGCAGCUUGAGAGGUG